CUUCAGGACUGGCCCUUGGCUGGCUCCUAGGAAAUGAACUCUGAACCCUAGGAAUAUUAUGCCUGUAAACACUCCACAAUGCCAGGAAGAAUUUCCUAUAAUGGCUGUGCCACUACUCUGCUUGAAAAUCGUCACUGACUUCGCCUCAUCUGUGAAGAGUCCAUCCUUCCCACCAUGACAUACAAAAGCCUGAGUGAUCUGGUUCCAGCCCAUUCCUGUGGGUUUGUCUCCUGUUAUUCCCUACCUUGUGUUCUAGCCAUUUUGAAUUAUCUCAAGUGCCUGGAAUGGGCAUAUUUCUCAGGUGCCUGUGC
rnacentral:lncRNA from 1 species